CUCCCCGCGCGCGCUGCAGGAGUAUCUCAACUCUCACCGGCUCCCAGGAACAAUGAAGGGAAGCUCAAGUUUGAGCGCAAGUGGUGGCUUCCUAUUCGGGACUAGAGAUGCGACGGUGGCCCCGAGGUGCCCCAAGACUGCCGUACGGGGUACAACUGGGUCUUUGCCGACGGCGUGCUGCCUCCGCCAGGUCACAGUUUUAGAAGAAAACCGGAGUGUGAUCUACACUGCGAGCUGUGGACCGCGCAGUUCCAGGUUAGACCAGGAGCAGACGCUGACCUCACACUUCUGGUAGAAGUGAGAAGUGUUUUUCUACCUGAAGUUAGGGGCACAGUUCAUCUUGCUACCAUGAUGGCCACCAGCCCUGCCUCCGCAGAGAACUGUCAUGAAAAUAAUCAGGAACUCUGAACUUCUGAGCGUCUGAGACUUCAGCAAGCAAAAAAUCCUCCAUUUAUUUAACAUGGAAUAUUAUUUAAGGCCUUCCUGAAACUAUGUGUACAUUCAUAGUGGUUAAUGCAGAGAAGUGAAGAAUUCAGAAACUGACUGCAAGUUCAAGAUGAGCUGCAAGGAAAAAAAAUUCAAAGGCCUUGGAACAGAAUUCCAGCAACAUCAGACCAAAGUAAUGAAGCUACGUAGACUUUUUGUCUUGUCACAUUGAGUUCAAUGGUAGAAAAUAAUCUAGAGGUGCCUGGGGUAGCUCAGUCAUUUAACUGUCCGACUCGUGGUUUUGGGUCAGGUCGUAAUCUCAGGGUGGUAGCAUCAAGGCCCACAGGGCUCUGCACUCAGUGGGGAGUCUACUGGUGGUUCUUCUCCCUUAGUUCCUGUCCGCUGCACCUCCCCCCACCCUCAUGCACACUCUCUGUCUCAAAAUAAAUAAAUCUUUUUUUAAAAAAGAAAACGAUCUUGUCAGAAGGAAAAUGUGACCACAAGCAGACUUACUGGCAAUUACGCAUUUUAGUUUCAGUAACUCUAUAAAUAAGGUUUUUUCAAAACAACGUAUCUUUUUCAGGUGGGGAAAAAGCUCAUUAAGUUGCCCUGGAUAUUGUGACAGAAUAUGUUAUAGAAGCAAAACCGAUGAGAGGAAAUUGUCAUGAUGAUUUGAAAAAUUGGGUCCAUGGUAUUUCCUUGCAAAAAGAAAAGAUAGGUUGGUAUGUAAAGUUAUCUAUGCCAAAAUAUCCCAUUACACUUAAAAAAUCUUUAUUAAGAGAUCUAAGUUUUAAAACUGAUUAAAUCCAAGACAUUUCAUCAGUCAUUUAAAUUUCUAGAGUUUGGUAACUCUUCUGUAAGUAGAGUUCUGAUUUCAAACUACUUUUCCUAACUACAUUAUGGAGUUCCAACGAGGAUCGAAAAUGCGGAAAAAUUUUUGAUAAGUUGUAUUGUUACUUAUUAUAAUGUUACUGGUAUUAGAAAACAUCUCAGUCCCCACUGCUCUAAGAGAGACUCUUGGUGCUCCACUCCCGUAGGAUCAGCCCAUGACCUUGUUUUAUCUAUAUGUGAACCAACUAGUCUAACAGUCCAAGGAUUCUCCUUUGCAUAGGUUUAUCAUGAAAUCUAGGUUUUCAUUAUUUUGCAGUACUAUUUCACAAGGUCUUUGAUAAGGAGGCCAACUCUCUCAGUAUCAGAGUGCUAGCAGAACUAGUCAUUGUGUAGUGUUUGAAGUGCUCAUCAAAUAUCUAUACAACUCCUUUGCAAGUACUGUGACAUCACUGAAUGCUGAUAAAUUAAUAUGCAGUAUAUAAUCUAUAAAAAGUCACAACUGUUUACUGCUAUGCACUCUGGGCUACAUAUUCUAUUAAAAGUAUUUAAACACUGAAUUAUUUAUAAUAUAGGAACAUGGACUUGGAUUUGGAGGUUGCUCAUAAAUUCCAGGACCUCUCCACUAUACCCAUAGGCAGAUAGAGGGCCCUCCCAUCACCAGCUCUCCUAGCACCACUUCUGCCCAUAGGAAUUGCUCCUCCUCUUCCAACUCUUUUACCUCUACUAACUUGUAAUAUACCCACCACCAUCACCUUUGUUCAGGGAUGUCCUGCUCCACAGUCAUACUGUCUGCUCUAAAUUAUGAAAUGAAGCAGAAAUAAAUAUAUAAACCUGAACUCCAUGAACUGAUUCUUAAAACAGCAGCAACAGAUUCUCUGGAGAGUCAAAUAAUCAAAGGCAAAAACCCUGACUAGAGGUUUUCCCACAGAGUCAAAUGACCUAAGGGCACCUUCUAGGCACUGGUUGUCAUUAUUUGCACAUUAACUGCAUAGGUGUGCACAAGUAUGGUAUAAUGUUAAAAGAAUGUGACUGCUGACUCUUCCCCUUUCCUUUGUGAACUCACCACCUUAUUUAUCUAAAUAAUUGGAAACACCAUAGGGAAUAUGAAAUUCAUGUAGAAGAUACAAGGGAAUUAAAGUGGUAUAAGGAUAAUUGUAUUAGUUUCUUAGGGUUGCCAUAACAAAUUACCACAAACUGAGUGGUUUGUAACAACAAAAAUUUCUCUCUCACAGUUUUGGGGGGCCAAAGUCCACAAUCGAAAUGUUGGUAGGGCUAUAUUCCACAGAGGCUACAGGAGACCAUUUUUUUCUUGGCUUUACCUUCCAGAACUUUUGGUAUCCCUUGGUUCAUGGCCACAUAUCUCUGUUCUGUUUUCAUAGUGCCUUCUCUUCCUCAUGUCUAUGUGUACACUUUCCUCUGCCAUAAGCAGAGAUGGCAAACACAAGUGAUGUCUGCAUAUUGAUCUUAACAUUCUGCACCUUGGCCAAAUUCAUUUAGUGUGUGUAUGUAUUCUUGGGAUACUUCAUGUUAUCUGCAAAAAGACAUUCCAAUUCAGAUGGCUUUUAUUUUUCUCACCUAAUUUUGCUAUGGCUAGAAUUUGGAAGGGGCAAUCAUGGGCAUCCUUCUCUUCCUCAUGGGAAUGAUUUUAGUCUUUCACCACUGAGUAUGACAUUGGCUAUGGGGUUUUCACAUAUGACCUUUAUUGUGCUGCAGAAGUUCCUAUUUUUGUUGUUCUCAUAAAAGGGUAUUUUGUCAAGGAGUUAUUCUGCAUCAAUAGAAAUGAUCAGGGGCCCCUGGGUGGCUCAGUGGGUUAG